UUAAGUUUGAUUCUUCGGAUGAAGACUUUUGUGACUGCGCUGCGGACGGGUGAGUAACGCGUGGGUAACCUGCCUCAUACAGGGGGAUAACAGUUAGAAAUGACUGCUAAUACCGCAUAAGACCACAGGGUCGCAUGACCCGGUGGUAAAAACUCCGGUGGUAUGAGAUGGACCCGCGUCUGAUUAGCUAGUUGGUGGGGUAACGGCUCACCAAGGCGACGAUCAGUAGCCGACCUGAGAGGGUGACCGGCCACAUUGGGACUGAGACACGGCCCAAACUCCUACGGGAGGCAGCAGUGGGGAAUAUUGCACAAUGGGGGAAACCCUGAUGCAGCGACGCCGCGUGAAGCAUGAAGUAUUUCGGUAUGUAAACUUCUAUCAGCAGGGAAGAAAAUGACGGUACCUGACUAAGAAGCCCCGGCUAACUACGUGCCAGCAGCCGCGGUAAUACGUAGGGGGCAAGCGUUAUCCGGAUUUACUGGGUGUAAAGGGAGCGUAGACGGCAUGGCAAGUCUGAAGUGAAAGCCCGGGGCUCAACCCCGGGACUGCUUGGAAACUGUCAGGCUAGAGUGCUGGAGAGGUAAGUGGAAUUCCUAGUGUAGCGGUGAAAUGCGUAGAUAUUAGGAGGAACACCAGUGGCGAAGGCGGCUUACUGGACAGUGACUGACGUUGAGGCUCGAAAGCGUGGGGAGCAAACAGGAUUAGAUACCCUGGUAGUCCACGCCGUAAACGAUGACUACUAGGUGUCGGGUAGCAAAGCUAUUCGGUGCCGCAGCAAACGCAAUAAGUAGUCCACCUGGGGAGUACGUUCG
rnacentral:rRNA from 1 species